rnacentral:tRNA from 11 species
GCGGAAGUGGCUCAGUGGUAGAGCAUCACCUUGCCAAGGUGAGGGUCGCGGGUUCGAAUCCCGUCUUCCGCUCC